AUGUUGGCCGGGCGACGGUUGUCCCGGUUUAAGCGUGUAGGCUGGUUUUCCAGGCAAAUCCGGAAAAUCAAGGCUGAGGCGUGAUGACGAGGCACAGCGGUGCUGAAGCAACAAAUGCCCUGCUUCCAGGAAAAGCCUCUAAGCAUCAGGUAACAUCAAAUCGUACCCCAAACCGACACAGGUGGUCAGGUAGAGAAUACCAAGGCGCUUGAGAGAACUCGGGUGAAGGAACUAGGCAAAAUGGUGCCGUAACUUCGGGAGAAGGCACGCUGAUAUGUAGGUGAAGUCCCUCGCGGAUGGAGCUGAAAUCAGUCGAAGAUACCAGCUGGCUGCAACUGUUUAUUAAAAACACAGCACUGUGCAAACACGAAAGUGGACGUAUACGGUGUGACGCCUGCCCGGUGCCGGAAGGUUAAUUGAUGGGGUUAGCGCAAGCGAAGCUCUUGAUCGAAGCCCCGGUAAACGGCGGCCGUAACUAUAACGGUCCUAAGGUAGCGAAAUUCCUUGUCGGGUAAGUUCCGACCUGCACGAAUGGCGUAAUGAUGGCCAGGCUGUCUCCACCCGAGACUCAGUGAAAUUGAACUCGCUGUGAAGAUGCAGUGUACCCGCGGCAAGACGGAAAGACCCCGUGAACCUUUACUAUAGCUUGACACUGAACAUUGAGCCUUGAUGUGUAGGAUAGGUGGGAGGCUUUGAAGUGUGGACGCCAGUCUGCAUGGAGCCGACCUUGAAAUACCACCCUUUAAUGUUUGAUGUUCUAACGUUGACCCGUAAUCCGGGUUGCGGACAGUGUCUGGUGGGUAGUUUGACUGGGGCGGUCUCCUCCUAAAGAGUAACGGAGGAGCACGAAGGUUGGCUAAUCCUGGUCGGACAUCAGGAGGUUAGUGCAAUGGCAUAAGCCAGCUUGACUGCGAGCGUGACGGCGCGAGCAGGUGCGAAAGCAGGUCAUAGUGAUCCGGUGGUUCUGAAUGGAAGGGCCAUCGCUCAACGGAUAAAAGGUACUCCGGGGAUAACAGGCUGAUACCGCCCAAGAGUUCAUAUCGACGGCGGUGUUUGGCACCUCGAUGUCGGCUCAUCACAUCCUGGGGCUGAAGUAGGUCCCAAGGGUAUGGCUGUUCGCCAUUUAAAGUGGUACGCGAGCUGGGUUUAGAACGUCGUGAGACAGUUCGGUCCCUAUCUGCCGUGGGCGCUGGAGAACUGAGGGGGGCUGCUCCUAGUACGAGAGGACCGGAGUGGACGCAUCACUGGUGUUCGGGUUGUCAUGCCAAUGGCACUGCCCGGUAGCUAAAUGCGGAAGAGAUAAGUGCUGAAAGCAUCUAAGCACGAAACUUGCCCCGAGAUGAGUUCUCCCUGACUCCUUGAGACUCCUGAAGGAACGUUGAAGACGACGACGUUGAUAGGCCG
rnacentral:rRNA from 1 species